rnacentral:rRNA from 1 species
CGAUGAACCACUUCGGUGGGGAUUAGUGGCGAACGGGUGAGUAACACGUGGGCAAUCUGCCCUGCACUCUGGGACAAGCCCUGGAAACGGGGUCUAAUACCGGAUAACAGCUUCCAUCGCAUGGUGGGGGUUUGAAAGCUCCGGCGGUGCAGGAUGAGCCCGCGGCCUAUCAGCUUGUUGGUGAGGUAGUGGCUCACCAAGGCGACGACGGGUAGCCGGCCUGAGAGGGCGACCGGCCACACUGGGACUGAGACACGGCCCAGACUCCUACGGGAGGCAGCAGUGGGGAAUAUUGCACAAUGGGCGCAAGCCUGAUGCAGCGACGCCGCGUGAGGGAUGACGGCCUUCGGGUUGUAAACCUCUUUCAGCAGGGAAGAAGCGAGAGUGACGGUACCUGCAGAAGAAGCGCCGGCUAACUACGUGCCAGCAGCCGCGGUAAUACGUAGGGCGCAAGCGUUGUCCGGAAUUAUUGGGCGUAAAGAGCUCGUAGGCGGCUUGUCGCGUCGGUUGUGAAAGCCCGGGGCUUAACCCCGGGUCUGCAGUCGAUACGGGCAGGCUAGAGUUCGGUAGGGGAGAUCGGAAUUCCUGGUGUAGCGGUGAAAUGCGCAGAUAUCAGGAGGAACACCGGUGGCGAAGGCGGAUCUCUGGGCCGAUACUGACGCUGAGGAGCGAAAGCGUGGGGAGCGAACAGGAUUAGAUACCCUGGUAGUCCACGCCGUAAACGGUGGGCACUAGGUGUGGGCAACAUUCCACGUUGUCCGUGCCGCAGCUAACGCAUUAAGUGCCCCGCCUGGGGAGUAC